rnacentral:rRNA from 1 species
AACGAACGCUGGCGGCAUGCCUAACACAUGCAAGUCGAACGAGAUCUUCGGGUCUAGUGGCGCACGGGUGCGUAACGCGUGGGAAUCUGCCCUUUGGUUCGGAAUAACAGUUGGAAACGACUGCUAAUACCGGAUGAUGACGAAAGUCCAAAGAUUUAUCGCCAGAGGAUGAGCCCGCGUAGGAUUAGCUAGUUGGGGUGGUAAAGGCGCACCAAGGCGACGAUCCUUAGCUGGUCGGAGAGGAUGAUCAGCCACACUGGGACUGAGACACGGCCCAGACUCCUACGGGAGGCAGCAGUGGGGAAUAUUGGACAAUGGGCGAAAGCCUGAUCCAGCAAUGCCGCGUGAGUGAUGAAGGCCUUAGGGUUGUAAAGCUCUUUUACCCGGGAUGAUAAUGACAGUACCGGGAGAAUAAGCUCCGGCUAACUCCGUGCCAGCAGCCGCGGUAA